rnacentral:lncRNA from 1 species
GGAAGGAGCUGCAGCCCCCAGCCCCUGUCCCUGCAGCUCCUGGACACCCUGGAGCUGCUCCCAGCCCUGCCAUGGAGGGAAAGGCAGAUUAUCAGCAGAGCGUGGUGAAGCUGGUGGCUGCAUUUGAAGAGCACUGCAGGGACAGCACAUCUGCCCAGAGGGACAAGCAGGCAGGCAGGCAGCUUCCAGCAUUCCCUGCCAGCCAGAGCCACUCCCUGACCAGAAAAGAGGAUGAGGAGGAUCAGCGAGGUCAGCGUGGACUCAGCUUCAAAUGCCUCCGUUCUCUGCGAUCCAAAAUCCGUGAGGACAACUGGAGGAGGCCACAGGGCCCAGGCCUGGAGCCUGGCAGCCAGGUGAGCUCCAGAGGCUGGUGGGGUGGGUGCCCACACUCAGGCAGGGCUGGCUCAGGGUCCCAUCUCUGCCCAUGAGACUGAGCCCUGCUCCCCAUGCAGGAACCAGAGGAGAAGAAAAUCGCCCUGGAGCUGCUGGAGACAGAGCAGGCU